UUAAAGCCAGGCGAGAGAGAGGGAGAACCGGCAGUUCAACUCCACUCCUGCCGAUGCAUCGCCACCACCAGUUCGCUCCCAUGCACACGCGUCUUUGAAGAUCACCCGUCACCUCCACACACGCACACGCUCUCUCUCUCUCUCGCAAGCGCAGCAGCAGCCGCUAGGUUCGAUCUCUUGCUUCCUCCAGGACCGACGACGAAACAUUUAAGCGGGUAAAGAAACGAGGAGCAGGGCCUCAUCAGGGAGAGAGGGAGAGAGAGAGCGACUACGACGAUCGGUAGUCCCUCCAGCAACCCUUUUGUUUCCUUGCUCUCGAUCGAUGUUCGGUUGAUGCCGCCACGUCGUCUCCUCUCGGGUCCCCUGCCAGUUUCUUCUGGGGCUCUCUGAUGUAUCAUGAGCCCCUUUUGUCUGCAUUCGUGAGAUCGAAUUAAAUUCAGGACGUUGGAGUAAAACGGGAGUAAAAUUGCAGUUGAAAAGUGGACAAAAUAGGGAAGAAGAUAAAAGAGCUAGAAUUGAAAGCUAGUAGCCCCCCCCCCUCCCCCUCAAAGGAUCCAAGAAAGUACAAGCUUUUUUCCCUUCUCUCUCGACUUAUUUUUUUCUUCUUCUGCUAUUCGUCAUUAAUUUGGCCAGAUUCUUCUGCUGCUGCUGUUGCUGCUUGAUGCAUGCCCGUUGGGUCCCUUUUCAUGUCGGCUCUCUAAACCGCCGAGAGGAAAUCAUAGCCUUCUUUGCGGGGUUUUCUUUUUCCUUUCCCUUUGGCUUAUUUACUGUGCAGAGAUACGGAGGCAACUGAGAGUUAGCGGCCAUAGAGAGAGAGAGAGAGAGAGAGAGAGAGAGAGAGAGGGAGGGAGGGAGGGAGGGAGGGAGGGAGAGAGAAUACAUCAGUUUUCAUGGAGUCCUAUCUGGGCUUUGCUUGUGGAUUCUGGGUUCUUGAGAAAAUGGUGAUUUUGACCGUACCACAACCCAUUGUUUCCUCCUUUCUCUAGCACCUAAUU
rnacentral:lncRNA from 1 species